UACGUAGGGGGCAAGCGUUGUCCGGAUUUAUUGGGCGUAAAGAGCGUGUAGGCGGCCAGAUAGGUCCGCUGUGAAAACUCGAGGCUCAACCUCGAGACGCCGAUGGAAACCAUCUGGCUAGAGUCCGGAAGAGGAGAGCGGAAUUCCCGGUGUAGCGGUGAAAUGCGCAGAUAUCGGGAAGAACACCCGUGGCUAAGGCGGCUCUCUAGUACGGUACUGACGCUGAGACGCGAAAGCGUGGGGAGCGAACAGG
rnacentral:rRNA from 1 species